CCGGAGCCGACGGGAACUCCCUGCCCCGGGGCUCCCCACCCAGAAGCACCGAGGGCUGCAUCACGCAGAUUGGAGUUUGACUUCCUAAGACGUUGGAGGGGCAAGGCUGGGAUGUGAAGUCACACCAACUCUCAGAAUAGGCAAUUUCUGCAACACAGAUAUUCAGCCCGCCCCAGGCACCAUGGGCUUUUCUGCACGCGUUUUGGGAAAAGACCCGCACCAAGAGGAAUGGGUGUAUAACCAGAACUGUCAAUCAAAUGACCUCACACUGUCAAUCAAAGAAGUGCCUCCGGGCUAGGUCGUGAUAACUAGACCCUCCCUUAAAAGUUCGGGGCCUGUGUCUACCUUGACGCUGGUCCUCUUGGAGUGUAUUCAAAUAAAACUUUCU